rnacentral:rRNA from 1 species
UGGGGAAUAUUGCACAAUGGGGGAAACCCUGAUGCAGCGACGCCGCGUGCGGGAUGAAGGCCUUCGGGUUGUAAACCGCUUUCAGCAGGGGCGAAUUUAAGACGGUACCUGCAGAAGAAGCGCCGGCUAACUACGUGCCAGCAGCCGCGGUAAUACGUAGGGCGCAAGCGUUGUCCGGAAUUAUUGGGCGUAAAGAGCUCGUAGGCGGCCAGUUGCGUCCGCUGUGAAAUCCUGGGGCUUAACCCCGGGCGUGCAGUGGAUACGGGCUGGCUAGAGGCAGGCAGGGGAGAACGGAAUUCCCGGUGUAGCGGUGAAAUGCGCAGAUAUCGGGAGGAACACCGGUGGCGAAGGCGGUUCUCUGGGCCUGUUCUGACGCUGAGGAGCGAAAGCGUGGGGAGCAAACA